GGUCUGGUGGUCUAGUGGUAUGAUUCUCGCUUAGGGUCCACCCUGAGUUUAACAACUUGCGAGAGGUCCCGGGUUCAAUCCCCGGCCAGACCC